GAGUUUGAUCCUGGCUCAGGAUGAACGCUGGCGGCGUGCUUAACACAUGCAAGUCGAACGAAGCACAUGUAGCGGACUGGAGAGCUUGCUCAAAGGGAAGCAGCAUGUGACUGAGUGGCGGACGGGUGAGUAACGCGUGGAUAACCUACCUCAUACAGGGGGAUAACAGUUGGAAACGACUGUUAAUACCGCAUAAGCGCACGGGACUGCAUGGUUCUGUGUGAAAAACUCCGGUGGUAUGAGAUGGGUCCGCGUCUGAUUAGCUAGUUGGCAGGGUAACGGCCUACCAAGGCGACGAUCAGUAGCCGGCCUGAGAGGGUGUACGGCCACAUUGGGACUGAGACACGGCCCAAACUCCUACGGGAGGCAGCAGUGGGGAAUAUUGCACAAUGGGGGGAACCCUGAUGCAGCGACGCCGCGUGGGUGAAGAAGUAUUUCGGUAUGUAAAGCCCUAUCAGCAGGGAAGACAAUGACGGUACCUGACUAAGAAGCCCCGGCUAACUACGUGCCAGCAGCCGCGGUAAUACGUAGGGGGCAAGCGUUAUCCGGAUUUACUGGGUGUAAAGGGAGCGUAGGUGGCGUGCCAAGUCAGGAGUGAAAACCCAGGGCCCAACUCUGGGACUGCUCUUGAAACUGGCAGGCUUGAGUGCUGGAGAGGUAAGCGGAAUUCCUAGUGUAGCGG
rnacentral:rRNA from 1 species